rnacentral:sRNA from 1 species
UAGAGGAAGGAUACCCGCGCCCCGUCUCCGACUUCAGCCUCCCGCCUGGCGGCAUCGACGCUGCCUUCUCCUGGGCCCACAAUGACAGGACUUAUUUCUUUAAGGACCAGCUGUACUGGCGCUACGAUGACCACACGAGGCGCAUGGACCCCGGCUACCCCGCCCAGAGCCCCCUGUGGAGGGGUGUCCCCAGCACGCUGGACGACGCCAUGCGCUGGUCCGACGGUGCCUCCUACUUUUUCCGUGGCCAGGAGUACUGGAAAGUGCUGGAUGGCGAGCUGGAGGUGGCACCCGGGUACCCGCAGUCCACGGCCCGGGACUGGCUGGUGUGUGGAGACUCACAGGCCGACGGAUCUGUGGCUGCGGGCGUGGAUGGGGCAGAGGGGCCCCGCGCCCCUCCAGGACAACAUGACCAGAGCCGCUCGGAGGACGGUUACGAGGUCUGCUCAUGCACCUCUGGGGCAUCCUCUCUCCCGGGGACCCCAGGUUCGCUGGUGGCUGCCACCAUGCUGCUGCUGCCGCCACUGUCACCAGGCACCCUGUGGACAGCUGGCCAGGCCCUGACGCUAUGACGCACAGCGUGAGCCCGUGAGAGGACAGAGGCGGUGGGACAGCCUGGCCACAGAGGGC